rnacentral:lncRNA from 1 species
GUUUUAAGAGUUCUAUCAAUUUUUUCGUGAGUUUUUUUUUCCCUUCUCCCAAAAUCUUAAUUCGGUCCAAUCCUUUUACUAGUAAACAUUUUAAUUUAUUUCACUAUAAACUUAUAUCUAAAUUUUGUCAUGUUAAAUCCACCCAGCUGAAAAAUUGAUAGAGGAAUAAAUAGGUUCUUUGAAAUUGCAUUUUUGAAGGCAAACCAACUUAAAUCUUUUUCUCUUUUUUUUAUAACAGAAAAAAAGGAAAACAACACAAAACUCCAUUUUAGAAAAAGGACGAUUUGAAAAAAUCGAAUACUGUACUCAAAACACCGAACGCAGUACACAUUACCAUACAUCGUGUUUUGUGCAGAGAAAACGAGUGUUGAACUUUGCCUUUCGUUUCAACAUAUCUUCAUGCUACAUGCACCAUUUCUUCGGUCACGUGUCUAAUCGAUCGUACUUCUCAAGUUGUGACGUCAACUGUGACGUAACACCUUUUCUCCUGUUUGCUAUAAAAAAAAAAGUCGACGUCGAUACCAAGAAAGCUUCAAUCGAAACAUUGCCAUGUGUGGCUUCUCUCACACAAACCUCUUCAGACAAAGAAUUUCUAUAUUUUUUUAGGAAUUACUAAAGCUUAAAGAAUAUUUUUCUCUUCCUUCUAUUAUAAAAUCCAAAAUUUUCUCCUUAAUAGAAGUUCUACUUGUAUUUCAAUUCGUCCUAUCAAAGCAAAAAAAAAAAAAGGAAAAUUCAAAUUAUUUUUCUUAAUUUUAAAUAACUUAAUUUACA